ACAGCAUGCUGGAAAUCAUUUAUGUAUCUGCCACGAAAUACCUGGAAGAAGGAAAGAACCUGAAUUGAAAUUGCCUUAUCAGGCAACAGCAGAAUCACAAAUAGAGGCUCAGCAGCAUGAAAGAGCCAAUAAGGAAAGCGAGACUUGGAAAGGGGAUGGAAAGCUUGCACCUCUCACAAAAUGCAGACUCCAUGGCAGAAGUCACCGAAAACUUCUGAAAAUACAGGAAGUCAACCAGUCAGACAGUGUCUGCUGUCAGUGCAAAGCCAAAAUAAAGAAAUAUUUUCCUAACUGCUGUGGGCCACUUCAGUGUGGUGUGGCAUUGCCAAUUCCACAGGGAGUGCAGGGGUUUACCAGGAACAGAGCAAAGCUCUGAGGGCAGAUUCUGGGCUGGAAAAGAUGUGGGCUGCGGUCAUGAUAUCCUGGAUAAUUGUGUAUGUCAAAGACCACUGGUCUACAAAACAUAGGAGGAAGUUUGCUUACAGAAGCCUGCAUAAGGACAUGUUGUAGGACCCCUCCCAGCAGCUCUACUCUCCUGCAUCAUCCUGCCUUAAAUGGAGCUUAAAAUCUGCCAGAGGUGCUGGUAACCAGAAAAGAAAUGAGGUGAGAAAUUUUACUGGAAGCCACCAGGGAGAAUUUUCCUAGACCACUGACACA